UCCUACAUGAGAGAAUACAUCCAGAAUAUAUAACUACACCAUCCGUCGGAACCAAAUCCCGUAACUGCGCUGAGCAGGUUGCACAUGAACAAGAGACAGGAGUCUACACAGGCGGGGCCUAGCUAUAACCUAGGAGGAGGUGAACUUGGUGACGGCCUUGGUGCCCUCGGAGACGGCGUGCUUGGCGAGCUCCCCGGGGAGGACGAGGCGGACCGAGGUCUGGAUCUCGCGGGAGGUGAUGGUGGGCUUCUUGUUGUACCGCGCGAGCUUGGCCGCCUCCGCCGCCAGCUUCUCGAAGAUGUCGUUGAUGAACGAGUUCAUGAUGGACAUGGCCUUGGAGGAGAUGCCGAUGUCGGGGUGCACCUGCUUCAGCACCUUGAAGAUGUAGAUCUUGUAGGUCUCCACGCUCUUCUUCGCCUUCUUCUUGCCCUUCUUCUCGCCGUCCUUGCCGGCGGACUUGCCGGCCGGCAGCCGCUUCUCGGCCUUGGGCUUCUUCCCCGCCGGGGUCUUCUCCGCCUUCUCGGCCGCCGGCUCCUCCUCCGCGGGCUUCUUGGCGGCGGGCUUCUUCUCAGCCUUGGGCGCCAUGGGUUGCGGUGAGGGCGAGGCUGCUCGAAUUCGCGGUGGAUGGGGGAAUUUGGGGAGAAAUGC
rnacentral:lncRNA from 1 species